GCCCAAGUAGUGUAGUCCGGCCUAUCAUGAUACCCUGUCGAGGUAUCGACCCGGGUUCGAAUCCCGGCUUGGGCG
rnacentral:tRNA from 2 species